CUGCGGAAGGAUCAUUACCGAGUUGAUUCGGGCUCCGGCCCGAUCCUCCCACCCUUUGUGUACCUACCUCUGUUGCUUUGGCGGGCCGCGGUCCUCCGCGGCCGGCCCCCCUCCCCGGGGGGUGGCCAGCGCCCGCCAGAGGACCAUCAAACUCCAGUCAGUAAACGAUGCAGUCUGAAAAACAUUUAAUAAACUAAAACUUUCAACAACGGAUCUCUUGGUUCUGGCAUCGAUGAAGAACGCAGCGAAAUGCGAUAAGUAAUGUGAAUUGCAGAAUUCAGUGAAUCAUCGAAUCUUUGAACGCACAUUGCGCCCUUUGGUAUUCCGAAGGGCAUGCCUGUUCGAGCGUCAUUACAACCCUCAAGCUCUGCUUGGUAUUGGGCACCGUCCUUUGCGGGCGCGCCUCAAAGACCUCGGCGGUGGCGUCUUGCCUCAAGCGUAGUAGAACAUACAUCUCGCUUCGGAGCGCAGGGCGUCGCCCGCCGGACGAACCUUCUGAACUUUUCUCAAGGUUGACCUCGGAUCAGGUAGGGAUACCCGCUGAACUUAAGCAUAUCAAUA
rnacentral:rRNA from 1 species